rnacentral:rRNA from 1 species
CCUACGGGUGACAGCAGUGAGGAAUAUUGGUCAAUGGGCGAGAGCCUGAACCAGCCAAGUCGCGUGAAGGAUGACGGCCCUACGGGUUGUAAACUUCUUUUGUCAGGGAACAAUUGAGUCCACGCGUGGUCUUAUCGAGAGUACCUGAAGAAAAAGCAUCGCCUAACUCCGUGCCAGCACCCGCGGUAUUACGAAGGAGGCGAGCGUUAUCCGGAUUUUUUGGGUUUAAAGGUUGCGUAGGCGGCAUAUCAAGUCAGCGGUAAAACGUCGGGGCCAAACCCCGUCGGGCCGUUGAAACUGACGGUCUUGAGUGGGCGAGAAGUAUGCGGAAUGCGUGGUGUAGCGGUGAAAUGCAUAGAUAUCACGCAGAACUCCGAUUGCGAAGGCAGCAUACCGGCGCCCAACUGACGCUGAAGCACGAAAGCGUGGGUAUCGAACAGGAUUAGAUACCCUUGUAGUC